rnacentral:misc_RNA from 1 species
UUAAGUUCAGCGGGUAUCCCUACCUGAUCCGAGGUCAAGAGUGUAAAAAGUACUUUUGGACGUCGUCGUUAUGAGUGCAAAGCGCGAGAUGUACUGCGCUCCGAAAUCAAUACGCCGGCUGCCAAUUGUUUUGAGGCGAGUCUACACGCAGAGGCGAGACAAACACCCAACACCAAGCGUGAGCUUGAAGGGUUAAAUGA